ACUCUUACGAGGCCUCGUAAUCGGAAUGAGUACACUUUAAAUAUUUUAACGAGGAACAAUUGGAGGGCAAGUCUGGUGCCAGCAGCCGCGGUAAUUCCAGCUCCAAUAGCGUAUACUAAAAUUGUUGCGGUUAAAAAGCUCGUAGUUGCAUUUGUGCGCCGCGCUGUCGGUGCAUCGCAUCCGCGGUGAUACUGACACGUCUGCGGAGCAUAUCGUCGGUGAGCUGGCGGUAAAACGCCGGUUCAAUAUCAAAAUCCUAUCGCGGUGCUCUUCAGUGAGUGUCGAGAUGGGCCGACAAUUUUACUUUGAACAAAUUAGAGUGCUCAAAGCGGGCUCAAAAUGCCGCUUGAAUAUUUCGUGCAUGGAAUAAUAGAAUAUGAUCUCGGUUCUAUUUUGUUGGUUUUCAGAACUCCGAGGUAAUGAUUAAUAGGGAUAACUGGGGGCAUUCGUAUUGCGACGUUAGAGGUGAAAUUCUUGGAUCGUCGCAAGACGAACAUCAGCGAAAGCAUUUGCCAAAGGUGUUUUCAUCAAUCAAGAACGAAAGUUAGAGGUUCGAAGGCGAUUAGAUACCUUCCUAGUUCUAACCGUAAAUAUGUCAUCUAGCGAUCCGCCGACGUUACUACAAUGGCUCGGCGGGCAGCUUCCGGGAAACCAAAGAUUUUGGACUCCGGGGGGAGUAUGGUUGCAAAGCUGAAACUUAAAGGAAUUGACGGAAGGGCACCACCAGGAGUGGAGCCUGCGGCUUAAUUUGACUCAACACGGGAAAUCUCACCAGGCCCGGACACCGGAAGGAUUGACAGAUUAACAGCUCUUUCUUGAUUCGGUGGGUGGUGGUGCAUGGCCGUUCUUAGUUGGUGGAGCGAUUUGUCUGGUUAAUUCCGGUAACGAACGAGACUCUAGCCUGCUAAAUAGGCGUCGUCAUUUAGGUGUGCGCGGCUUCAGGGUCGCGCAACUCACUGGCGGCGUAUUAAAAUUCUUCUUAGAGGGACCGGCGGCUUCGAGCCGCACGAGAUUGAGCAAUAACAGGUCUGUGAUGCCCUUAGAUAUCCUGGGCCGCACGCGCGCUACACUGAAGGAAUCAACAUGUUCUCCCUGGCCUAGAGGCCCGGGCAACCCGUUGAAGCUCCUUCGUGCUGGGGAUUGGGGUUUGCAAUUAUCCCCCAUAAACGAGGAAUUCCUAGUAAGCGCGAGUCAUAAGCUCGCGUUGAUUACGUCCCUGCCCUUUGUACACACCGCCCGUCGCUACUACCGAUUGAAUGAUUUAGUGAGGUCUUCGGACCGACACGCGGUGGCUUCGCGGCCGUCGGCGUUGCUGGGAAGUUGACCAAACUUGAUCAUUUAGAGGAAGUAAAAGUCGUAACAAGGUUUCCGUAGGGGAACCUGUGGAAG
rnacentral:rRNA from 1 species